AGCACAAGUGAUGAACAACAAAGGGACUUAAUACUGAAACUUGAUGUGAUAUUGUGAUAUCUGAUGUGC